rnacentral:rRNA from 1 species
GCUGAGGCGUGAUGACGAGGCACUACGGUGCUGAAGCAACAAAUGCCCUGCUUCCAGGAAAAGCCUCUAAGCAUCAGGUAACAUCAAAUCGUACCCCAAACCGACACAGGUGGUCAGGUAGAGAAUACCAAGGCGCUUGAGAGAACUCGGGUGAAGGAACUAGGCAAAAUGGUGCCGUAACUUCGGGAGAAGGCACGCUGAUAUGUAGGUGAAGUCCCUCGCGGAUGGAGCUGAAAUCAGUCGAAGAUACCAGCUGGCUGCAACUGUUUAUUAAAAACACAGCACUGUGCAAACACGAAAGUGGACGUAUACGGUGUGACGCCUGCCCGGUGCCGGAAGGUUAAUUGAUGGGGUCAGCGCAAGCGAAGCUCUUGAUCGAAGCCCCGGUAAACGGCGGCCGUAACUAUAACGGUCCUAAGGUAGCGAAAUUCCUUGUCGGGUAAGUUCCGACCUGCACGAAUGGCGUAAUGAUGGCCAGGCUGUCUCCACCCGAGACUCAGUGAAAUUGAACUCGCUGUGAAGAUGCAGUGUACCCGCGGCAAGACGGAAAGACCCCGUGAACCUUUACUAUAGCUUGACACUGAACAUUGAGCCUUGAUGUGUAGGAUAGGUGGGAGGCUUUGAAGUGUGGACGCCAGUCUGCAUGGAGCCGACCUUGAAAUACCACCCUUUAAUGUUUGAUGUUCUAACGUUGACCCGUAAUCCGGGUUGCGGACAGUGUCUGGUGGGUAGUUUGACUGGGGCGGUCUCCUCCUAAAGAGUAACGGAGGAGCACGAAGGUUGGCUAAUCCUGGUCGGACAUCAGGAGGUUAGUGCAAUGGCAUAAGCCAGCUUGACUGCGAGCGUGACGGCGCGAGCAGGUGCGAAAGCAGGUCAUAGUGAUCCGGUGGUUCUGAAUGGAAGGGCCAUCGCUCAACGGAUAAAAGGUACUCCGGGGAUAACAGGCUGAUACCGCCCAAGAGUUCAUAUCGACGGCGGUGUUUGGCACCUCGAUGUCGGCUCAUCACAUCCUGGGGCUGAAGUAGGUCCCAAGGGUAUGGCUGUUCGCCAUUUAAAGUGGUACGCGAGCUGGGUUUAGAACGUCGUGAGACAGUUCGGUCCCUAUCUGCCGUGGGCGCUGGAGAACUGAGGGGGGCUGCUCCUAGUACGAGAGGACCGGAGUGGACGCAUCACUGGUGUUCGGGUUGUCAUGCCAAUGGCACUGCCCGGUAGCUAAAUGCGGAAGAGAUAAGUGCUGAAAGCAUCUAAGCACGAAACUUGCCCCGAGAUGAGUUCUCCCUGACUCCUUGAGAGUCCUGAAGGAACGUUGAAG